UAAACAGUUGUUGACAAUCAGAGGCC
rnacentral:piRNA from 1 species